GACGAACGUUGGCGGUGCGCUUAAUGCAUGCAAGUCGAGGGAGAUCCACGAGAUCCGUAAGGUGAUCGUGGGGAAACCGGCGAACGGGUGCGUAACACGUGAGAAACCUGCCCCCCAGACCGGGAUAGCCCAGGGAAACCUGGAUUAAUACCGGAUAUUCUCUUUGGAUCGCAUGAUCCCUUGAGGAAAGGUCCGCUGCUGGGGGAUGGUCUCGCGGCCUAUCAGGUUGUUGGUGAGGUAACGGCUCACCAAGCCGAAGACGGGUAGCUGGUCUGAGAGGACGAUCAGCCACACUGGAACUGAGACACGGUCCAGACUCCUACGGGUGGCUG
rnacentral:rRNA from 1 species